GCAGAGAGCUGCCCUGAAGCACAUUCACUUUUUCCACCUCUGCUACCAUGACAAGUUACUUCUGGCCCAGGGGGAGAAGCCGGCAGCAGAAGGCAUUCCUCACCACAGCAAGACUCACCAGAACUUGUCAGGACCUGGAGCAUCGCAGUACCUGCUCUUUGUUCACACCGAUUUUGCCCAGUGACUAUCAGAGCAAUGCUCCCUGGGAAGAGGCUUUGUGCCACAGCCCAUUAACAUCUCGCUGAAACUAAUUUCAAAGUAAAUGCUUGGCAGGUUGUGCUGACACGCUGUCCAACAGUCACCUCGGCUCACCUUUCGCUGCCCCCCGAGUCCCCAGGACACGUUGUGCCCUCCCACACCACCUCCCCAGGGAAGGAGCAGUAACUCCCCCAGCCCACCUGAUGCUGUAUUUGUGACUCCGUUCACUGUGCCGUCCACAUCUCUCUCGUCCUCAGCAUAGCUCAUCAUUAAGGCUCUCUGGCGAUCCGUCAGCCUCCUGCAGGUCAAAGACAGAGCUGGUGGUUACGGCUGCCUUCACCUCCUCGGGCAGCACACGCAACAGGCAGCUACUAGAAGCACAAGAUUAAUCUGGCAUUCACCACGAAUCCCUGUGACCAAUUUAUAAAGAGCAAGCCCCAGUGGAAGAGGAGAGAGAUGACCCACUGCAGUUCACCAAACUGUAGGGAAACAGCAAAACCUUUUCAAGUGCUGAGAGAAACAUCUGGAGCUGCAGCAGCACAAACAUCUGUGGGGGGAGGCCUCAGGAAAUGAACUCCCUUGCUGCGUGCAGCAAUGCAAACUAAAAAGUUUGCUUCACCACAGAAGCAGAGGGUGGUGAGGCAGCCUGAAAAACAAUUGCCAAGGACCUCAGUUACUUGAAGCUGCAGGUAUAAGAGCACAGACGGACGUGUUGUGAGCCAGAACACUGAAUUUACAUAACUGGGUUCCAGACAAAAAGUGGCAGAAAUCCAGGCUUCAAAAUAAGAUGGGAGAGAUCUGGCAGGUUCGUGCAUCUGAACAUGUACAGAGGCUGAGUCAACAAGGAUGGGAAAGCUUGUAAAGAACCUAGCAGGGUUCAGAUGACUUCGGAAGGGAUUUGUGCAGCAAUCCACCCAGCUGCUCCUGUCCCUGUCCCCACACAGUGAGCUGGAAAGGAGGUGGGCCCAAGCAGGUCGCAAGCUACCUGACACUCAGUGCUGAAGAAGUCUGGCACUUGAUACUGGGGGACCUGGGAGAUCUGCAGUAUCUCUGCAGCAAAGCGGGGCUCUGAUGUCCCACAGUGAUCUAUGCCCGAGCUCUUCCACGUAACGGUACCUACCGUGAUAUUGAUUGUCUCGUACAAGCCUUGACAUCUGGCUGUACCUCCCAGAACAGCCUGUGCUACUGAAAUAAGGAGGUCUGAAUGGAUAUCUGCGCCAUUUCUUCUGAACACGGAACUUUUUUGAACCUGAAAGGCAGGCAGUUGCAAAAAGUAGUUAGCAGAACAAUACAGAGUUAUUGCGGUAAACUGUUUGGAAAGGUCUCAGCAGAGAACACCAGAAAGCUGCAGCCAGACCCUUCACCGCCCACAAGCCACGUGGCUAACAAGUCUAGGUUAACGUUCAGUCUUUUAGAGAAUCACAGCUCUUGACAUAACCGUAACUAGCCAGAGGCUCAGGGCUCAGCAGCUCCCUCCUCUAAUCCCGUUUGUUAAUUCAGUGUCAGUACGAUUCUGCAGAGACAAAGACCACACUGUCUUGUCCAGUACCCCAAAAAAAGGAAAGCCUGAAGAGGGAAGCAGGAACCUGUGCAGUGGCCUCACAAGCUGGAAGAGAAUUAAAUCCUCCUGCACCACCAAGGUACUGAAAAAAAAAAA